UCCUCUCCUCUCCUCACCCCACCGGGUCGCGGCCGCGCUCCCGCCCCCGCCGCCGCACGGCGCAUGCGCUUUUCUCGGGGCAUUACGGCUCUGCUGUGAUAUACGGGAGCACGUGUUGGGCUUCACGUCCUUGAAAUGCCGUGGCGGCUUAGUGGCGGUAAUUACGGUAAGUUCCCUUAGUGGGCGUGCCCACGAGGGUAUUUACGGUAACGGAGUGCGCUCAGUAGUUACAAAUAAGGUGCGGGCGGCCCAGGCGGCACUGAAGUUCCAUAAAUCACAGAAUCAAUUAGGAUGGAAAACGCGUCUGAGAUCAUCGAGUCCAGCCUAUGACUGAUCACCAUCCUGUCAACUGGACUAUGGCACUAAGUGCCACGUCCAGUCUUUCCUUAAACACCUCCGGGGAUGGUGACUCCACCGCCUCCCCUGAGCAGCCCGUUCCAAUGUCUCGUCACCCUUUCUGUGAAGAAAUUCCUCCUGAUGUCCAACAUAAACCUCCCGUGACACAGCUUGAGGUUAUGUCCUCUCACCCUGUCACUAGUUGCCUGGUAGAAGAGGCCGAUCCAAAUCUGGCUACAAUCUGCUUUCUGGGAUUUGAACAGAGCGAUAAGGUCUCCCCUCAGCCUCCUUUACUCCAGGCUAAACACCCCCAGCUCCCUCAGCCGCUCCUCGUAGGACUUGUGCUCCAGACCCUUCACCAGCUUUGUUGCCCUCCUCUGGACUCGCUCCAGCGCGAUCGUGCCACAGGGCGUCGGGAUAAAAUCCGUCUGGGAGCUUGUUUUUCCUCGGUAAUGUCUUUACAUCUGCGAAGGAGAGUUGGAGCUCCCCUCAGAGAGCGGGAAGCGGGAGCCCCUGGGCGGCUCCAGCUCUGGCGCUGUGACAGUGCUGGGCUUUGAGGAAAAGGAAUAACCUUGUUUGACUCUCACAGUCAGGCUUUUAGGUUUUCGAGUCGAUUUGUUCCUCUCUUUUAAAGAAAGCUUCUUUUCUGUCAAGAAGGAAAACUCCAGUAGCCUCAGGAUUUUCCUCACGUCGCUUCCUGUCAGUAAGAAGAUUUGAAAUCCAGCAGAAAAGCCAGAGAGUUGUUUCCCAGUGUUUACAGAUUCCUUGGCGUUCAAGCUGAAUUUGACCUCGAAGCACCUCUUCCUCGUGCAAUCUUCUGGCAGUAGGAGAUCCCUGAACCUUCCAACUCCCCGGCCAGCACAGAGUGUUACAGGAGCAGUUCUCCAGGGAGAGCACUGGAACUGUGCGGACAACACACAUUGCCAGGUACCUGUGGAGCACAGCAGAGCCCACAGAGAACAGAGCAGAGCACGGUCGGGGAGGCCAAAUCGGGACAGAUAAAAGGAGAGGAGAGUGAGAUGUGGAGCUGCAAGGAGAGUCCUUGCUUGACUCAAAAAUGAGACUCCAGCCAUGCAGCACUUCUCUGCAGCUGAGGUAUUUAUAAGCUGGGGUUUGUUGGUUUUACUACAGUUGUAAAUUUCUGUGUAGGGAACACACAGGCCCUUAUUCCGGGUACACCCAUUAGUCAUGAUUCAUAUUUAAUACUAGGGUAGGAUUAAAUGCAAUGAUGCAAUUUACACCCUGUCUGCAGCUGAGUUUAUACUAACAUAGCUGAAAAUUCAAAUAUUCCUUCUUAGAAGGGAUAUGUUCCUUCGAGGAUUUCUUAUUUAUAGCAAUGAGGUAGCUGGACAUACCUGUUUGCAGGACAAAAGUUCCCAAAUCUGUGUUAUUCUAUGCAAAAACACUAUCUUUAAUCUGUUUAAAGACCCAUUUUAAUUUCUCUUUAGAUGCUGUUACAGAUUCUGCCUCUACAAAUGUGGAAUUGAAGUUUCUGCUCAGUUAAACCAAGGCUUAGGAUAUAUAUUGGGGUGUUGGCAGAAGUGUCUGUCUUUUGAUUCUUGUUCUUGGGCACACAAAUUCAAGAGGGAGGGGGUGAAUAGCGAAGCUGAGCAGCUUGUUCUGUGCAAUCUCAAUCCCAUCAUUUACUGUCACCUUUCUGUGGGCCAUGUCACCAUUCCUGGUAUAACCACCUCACAGAAUCCACACAGGUGGGCCCAUAACGUGCCUCACCUGGAAAUCUCAAGGUUCACGUCAAGGUAAUGCACAAACAUUGUUGCUCUGGACAGCCACUUUCAGAUCUCCUCCCAGUGCUGAACACAUGCUGGGGGGUGUAUCUUUGACAGCAUCUAAUCUGCUGGAGUAAUGAGAGGAAUUAAUGCUGCAGAGUGCAAUUGAGAUUUUUUUUUAACCUGCUUUUUCCACUAUCCUCAAAAAGGCCUAAGUGGAACCACCUGCUGGAACUUGGAAGGACCUGAAUGAUCUCCUCUUACUGCCAGGUUCUUAAAAGGUACACAAGGGGUCAGAUCUUUGUAACUGUCAAUUGGUAUUUCCUUUCUGCGUUUUGUUUGCUGACUGUAAGUAAGCUAAGCAGGCUGCACUGUCAUAAAGAAAGCUUCCUUUUAUUCUAAUUUGCCCUGAUUUGAGGUCCUAACUCUGUCCCCUAAUGCUAAGGAAGAAGCUAGAGGAGAAAAUGUGUUUAUAAAAAAAUAACUGAAAGUAAUAAGAUACAAACAGACACUGGGAAAGGUUAAAAAUGAAAACUUGUUGAGAUCUGAACAGUUCAGCUUCCACGUUUAUUCUAUAGCUCUUGGAAUGUGAUCUUUACGCAACACACCACUUGGUUACCUGAACUGGGUUUUCAGCAGAAAUGUCAACAGUCUCAAGGUAUUGCAGAGCUGAGUGGUUACAUUACCAGCAACCAUUGUUCCUGUCCCCCUCUGAGGGCAGUUUCAAUCAUCCUUUGGUGUUAACUGGUAAAUGCAUUUGGCUUGGAAAAGGAGGAUCAAAUUGGCAGUAAAGGCACAUAGAUCCAAAAACCAGACCAAUAAAGCAUAAAAUUAAACCUUGCUUCAGUGUUAGAAAAGGUUUGCGUGUCCUUUCAUUAAUUCUCUAAAUAACAAAACACCCCUAAGCAAUGUUAUGGUAGCCACGCCUGGCAAAGGUGAAAUUAUUAAGACAGUGCUUUUCAGAAAUGCCGAGUAUCCAACUUCUGACCUCAGCCUCUCUGAAAUUCAGGUGCGGAAUGUCUCAGUGUUGCACUGGGUCAUGUGACACUGUGUUCUUAGGGUUUUCUGCUCUGGGAAUACACUUCUCUCUUACCUACAUAAGUUGGUAAACAAUGUUACAUCGCACCAGGGGAAGACGGUUCUGCUCUGAUGUCAGGAGCAGCCUGCUUCAUAAAACACAAGACCUUAGACAACAAUCUGGGUAGUGCUACCAGUGACAGGGCACUGGUUUAUUCACCCUGGGUACAUGUGUGGGAUGAGGGAAGAAUAUGUAGUUAAUUGCUCAGUCAUAUAAAUGCAGAGGCUCUUUCUCCUGGUCACAACGGGCCAUUGCUCACAGCACUGGUGUCAGCACAACAUACAGGGGGAUCAAAAAGGGCUGAAAGCAGAGGCAGUGCCCCUGCUCAGGAGAGGAAGUCAGUGUGUCAGAAAGCACUGCAGGUGAACAGUAUGGUCAGGCUUAUUUCUGCAGUUUUCCACAAUUUGCACUGGAAAUCUGAAUGAAGAUUUUCAAAAGUAAAUGCACCUUACUUUUCAGAAUUAAUAAUUUCCAGCUCGAAAUAGCCUGGGCAGAAGUUACUCACAACUGUCAAUGAGCUGCUGACUGGUGGCCAGCAGGCAGAGACUGCAGGAUGCUUGAUCCUUUGCUUUAAUUCCAAGUGUAGCUCAGGGAUCCCAGAAGAUCCGAUGAGAGAGAUCAGAGUUUCUACUUUGAUUUGAAAAUUUCUUCUGUCUUAGAGGAGGAUGAAAUGAAAAACCUGGGGGUCUUUGAAAGUGGAAACCAAAGAUUUGUGAAAAAGUUGCAUGGUAGUUAGACACUUGAUUCAGGAAGAAAACAUAGAAGAACAAUUCUGGUAGGGAAAGGAAGAUGGAGAAGGGUAUACAGAUAAUAUGGGAGUGUAAAACAGGUUGUGGAAGAAAGAAGGAGAAGGAAAAGAAGGAAAACUCACUAGUACUUUAUUAAAAAAAAAAAAGGAGGGGCAAGAAAAAGGGUAAAACUUUCAGUGAAAAAGUUUAGAACUUCUAAACAUUUCCCACAUUGUAAGGAGUUCCUGCAACCUUCAAAUAAAUUGCAUGAAUUGCAUUGGAGGUCAGAAUGGAAAAAGUUAUUAGGUGGACUUUUUUUCCUGUUACGAUGUGUUUCACAACUCACAAUUUAAGAAUGCAUGGUCUGAUCAGAAUAUGUGCAAAAGUCAUGCCAUAUCUUCUCCUAGAUUGCUCUUUCCAUGAGAUACAAAAUGUCUGCACUGAGAGUGCCCAGUGUUUCUCCUGAUUUGGCCUUUAAGGUUUAAGUUCUUGCAGAAACUAACCAUAAUGAGUGAGCCAAUAAACAAUCCACAAGGCACAAACCUUUCACCCUUGCCAUAUGCAACAACACCCAUAGUUAGUUUUUAUGAAAUAUAUUAGUGUCACCUUUAAACCAGUCAUCUGUAAUGAAAAAUAAUUAAAAUUCAGAGCAACAUCAUAAGGGUCAAAAUGUGUUUCAUUGAAACAUUUUGGAAAAGCUGCCAGCAUUCUGAGAAAUUAAUUGCUGUAUGUGUGUUCCUAUGGGAAAUUAUUAAAUUAAUUGAAAAAGCUAUAAAUUGACUGAUAGCACUUACUAUCAUAAUAAAUGAGCAUCACAGAGUCAGUUAUUAAUCAGAUUAUAGAUUAAAUGGGGACAGUCUGAUAAGAAUAGACUGUUUUCACCUAAGGCAGUUCCGUGAAGGAAGCCUCUUCAUUUCAAUCUUGAACAUUAUGCACCCAGUUCUAGACAAGUUUCCUGUCAAACAGCCUGUCUGAAUGCAGAAAUCCAGAUCUGCAAAUAUCUAUGAUAAAGAAAUUCACACAUGUUUUCUGCUGCAUACAAUACAUGUUCCUUUUUGCCUGUGGACAGACUACAGGAUCAGAUUCUUGGCCCAGUUCCUGCAACAAAACAGGCUAAAAACAGAAAAGAAGUGUCAGGUGCUUGUGUGAGAGGUUAUUAAUUAAUAUGACGUAACCAUUUCUGAAUGAGCAGGGCUAACACAGAGAAAAUAAAAGGAAUCCACAGGAAGUGGUUUUAUCAGAACCACAAAAAGCUGUUAAGCCAUUAUUCUGUAGAAAUCCUUAUUGUAGCUGAACCAGCAUGUUUGCUUUUUUUGUGUGCAGUUACUUACUGUACUGGUGAUACAAUAUCCUGCAAAUACUUUAAUAAACUUUGACCUUGAUUUAGCUGCAGCAAUUCAUUAUUUUAUCUCGUCAACUCAGCAGAAACAUGAAUGAAAAUUCAUUUCACAUUCCGAAGCGAAGAAUCCUGCUCAGGAAAGGCCAGUAGUGGAACAGCAGGAUGCUGGCAAGCAGGAACCAAGGUAUAUAUUCUGUAAAGCAACAAAACUGGUUUUACAUUUUUCCUGCAUAAAAGACUCCUCUUCUAUCUACCUGCUUCCCUGUGUUAUGCAGAAAUCUGGUAACUUUACUCUCCGUGUACUUUUCUUCUAUGAAAGAAAAAACGUUUACAUAUCAAAUGGGGAAGGGAGUAGAGAGAAUGUACCUAAUUGCCUGGCCUAAAUUUUAAUCUUGAAAUUUAGGCAUAGAAUGGAUUUUAGGGAUAUCUGUUUAGCUGUCCUCUUGAACUUGCUACUUGUGCAAAUCAAAUAGGAAAGUUUUAAAAGCUUCAAUUUAGUCUUUUAUCUAAAGAUAAACUAUUAUUCAUUAAGUUGACUUACUGGUGCCCAUAACUGUCUUCUCAAGUUUACAAAGGAGAGAGCAAAAGAUAGGUUGGAAAAGCUGGAAAAGUAAGAAAAAAGAAUACUAUGCCAUGCAAGCAAAAACAAGAUGUGUUUUCUUUUUUGUAAUAAAUCACAAACAUACAAUUAAAACUGUAGUUUUAAUCCUGGAAACAGGAAAUGAUUAUAAAGACUAAAAUUUUUCUAAACAGGACUAACUUGAAUUCUCUGUCUUACCAAAUAGAAUGAAAUAUUAUAGUUUGAUAAAUGUACAUAUAGCUUGCAUAAGCCUCAUUUGCACACAUACUUAGUUAUACAGCUAAAGUUAUAGCUUAAAUAUACUUUUUUACCCUUUGGAACUUUCAGAAAGUUUUGCCUGUUCCCCAUCUUGAACAUUUUCACAACUAUUUCUGAACUAUUUCGGUUUACUGCUGCAUCUUGACUGUAAAAACUGCUUUAGAAAGCUUGUGUUUUAAAAAUCAGCAUCUGCUUGAACACUAUUAAGUGAUGAAUGCACACUCCUUUUUUUUACUUAAAUUUUCUAUAACUUUGCUUCCUCAGAAUGUAAAGUCAGCAUUACACUUGAUUCACAGGUGUCUAUUUUAGGAACAAUCAUAAAUGUAAGAUGAGCUUGGGGUCCUACUUAAGGAACGGUAAGGAAAGAACACACUCUUUUCCUUGCAAAAAUUAAAUAAAGCCAUGCCCAUAAUGCAUAUAAAGAGACAACAUUCUUGGGGAACACAGUGAUCACAAGCACUACUCUGAGGUCAAAUUACUUGCAGUAAUUCUGUGAUCCUCGGCAAGAGUUUUUAUUUCACAAUAAUAUAACUCAUUCCACUGGAUGCUUUUGUAACUUCUGUGGUUGUGCAACUGAAUUAAAAAUGUGAAAAGAGCGUGAACUGUUAGUGCCAUCUUAGUGCCACAAGUACCAGCUACUGUCUCCUGCUUAUGUCUCCAGGGUGUCACUGAUCCACCACUCUGCAGCUUUGUAAGUGGCAUUUUCCCUAAGGGCCAUGAAAUAUAAAUAUACAGGCUGGAAAACAGUGCAUGAGAGAAGAGGAGGAGGCGAAACUGUGAGGUAGCUACAGACACUCUUGCUCCACUGCCUGUCCCACAGGGCCUGAAGCAGGUUGUGGGCUGGGUCAGCUGGACUUCCACAUCGUGGAAACUGAGCCUUCAGGAGCAGAUAGAUCAAACCUGAAAGCAAACAGCAAACCCCCAAACAUUGUGCAGUUCAUGAUCACAUUAUCUAGUCCAACAUCCUGUAUAAACUGGCAAUUCAAGUCUUAUGCACAUAUUUUUUAUUAAAGCCCAAAUCUUUGUUGGUUUGACUGAAGCACAGCUUGUGUUUUCACUAAAACUUAUCUUCCAGAACUGCAUCCAGUCUCACUUAGAAAACAUUGAGAGUACUGGCUAGUGCCACUGGGAAUUUUUUUCAGAGAUUCUCUAGUUUUACCUGUUAGACAUUUGAUCCUGUUACAUCUUUCUUCACUAAAGAGCUGUUCAGUACCCAGUAUUGUCUUCUUGACAAGAAACUCUUGCUCUUUCCCCCCACCUUGCUGUCCAGAGUUAACUGUUAAAAGUAAGAAUUGAUGAGGGAGUCCUGCACCUUUGAAAGGAUGUUUAUAAAGAAGUCCAGUUUUUCUGAACUCAGAAGAACCUUACAUCAGAGAUUUUUGUGUUUUCUUGCCUAGUUUGUUUUGGGUAGUUCUUUUUAAAAAAAUUUUCGUAAAACAUUGGUGUAAGAGCUGUAAAAAAUCUCUGUCUCCUCGGCAUUUACUCAGGAUCUUAGUAUCCUUGGCUCUAUUACAGCAACUGUUUCGUUCCUGCUUCAUCUCACCAUUGCUACUCCUGCUGUUCCACUUGCACUCACUUCCACCAGCUAAUGGCUGAAUCUUGUUUUCAAGCAUCUGUCCCCUGGGAAACUUUUUUGAAUAUGGGGUUUAGCAUCUGCUCAAGCCUUGCCAUCUGGCUGGAGGGGGUGGAGAUGGCUCCUGCUUUUUUUCUGGUGGGGUGGAGAGACUACUGAGCUCAUAGCCAUAUAGAGGAGCUUAGUGCCUUCCUUACACCCAUUCUGAACAAAAUUUCAGCAAAGUUUACCGUAGAGGUGAAGCCAACUCCCAUCUUACUAAAGGGGAUUAAAGGGAGCUGUGAAACCAUCAGGUGGGCAUGCCGUGGCAUCCUGGUCUCCUGGCUUGAUUCCGCAGGGUU